UUUCAAUGUUGUUUACGAGUUUAUUUUAAAUAAUGAAUGAAAAACGAGAUUAUUCACGGGAAUUAGUUGAUUGGGAGUAUUUGUACGCUUCGCGGAGAUUAGUGAUCCAGUUCGAAGCAAUGCAACAGGCGUAAUGCAACAAGGUCAUCAACGUGUGGAAGACAUCAUUGAGAAUUUUCAUUAACCCUUUUCCACGACAGCAGAGGAGAGACACAUUCGCAUCAGGAUAAAUUAGAAGCAACCUGGGUGAAAAGAAGAUUCCAGUUCCACACUUCGUCCGGUUCUUUCGUCAGAUUUUCAUUGUACAGUUUCUCGGCGAGGAGGGACAGAUUGACGCCAUUGAGGGAAGUGAACGCGGCGUUCUUCACCAAAUCGGUGUCCAGCUCCUUGUAAGCCGUGACUCUGUUCACGUUCACUCUGCCAGGCGUAUUGGUGUCGGACGACGCGCUGUCCUCCUGUAUUUCAUCCAAAUCCGGAAUAAUGGGGAUAUCUAUAUAGGCGACGGCCCCACGUUGGGAAACACUGGGUUAAAGUGUCCUCCGGCUGACGAAGAGCCCAGCCUGUAGAUUCUCACCGUCUGCAGGGUUGUCCUUUUCGGGCACCCGUGAACGUUCCCUAAUGAACAGUCUAUCAGUGACUACGGAUGUCAGAUUUCUUAAUCUUACGCGUUAUACUCACUGUUCGAUAAGGCUGGUCGCUCCUCGGGAUCUGCAAACGUUAAACAGAAGAAUGCAGCAAAGUACCGUGGAAGUUCUCGCGGAAGACAAAGAAUCGCCACGGAAUGCCUUACCUCCCGCUCUUCAGUUCGUCUCCCCAUCCCGUCUUCCUGGUACGCGGAGGUGCCACAGGUGGUUGCGUCGACCUCCCAGAGGACAACGACAACGGACUGUCCAAGAUAUCGUCGUCCACUUUGUCUUCCGCAGGGACAUUCUGCGUGGAGCGUCUGCCAAGACGUGGCAAGAGCUACGAGUUAAAUAAAACUUCGGAGUGCAACGGGUUAACGUUGACUGUACCGAUGGGAGCUUCCAGAUCAGAAGAUAAUAUCUCCUAAGAUAUGAUGAAUCAAAAUGCUCGGUAAGAAUAACUAAUACAAGAACGUGUUAAGAACAAGCUGUACAUUGGCAGAACUAUGAGACGACCCUCAAGAUACGACCAAGGUCCUCAAGAUAUUCGGUAGCGACUUGAUUUCUAGAUCCGCGGCCCAGUCCAUAGCCGCACGCCUGUUCUGCAGACUGAAUAGUAACGAAACGCUUGUCGCAAGGUGUGUUGUUUGCGAGCAGUAACCAUAACAACUGAUCGCGCCGCCACGCGCCGUUGAAUCGACUUUGCCGUGCGCUCGUCCUCCACGCUCGCCUCCCCUCUUCGGGGACGCGCGAAGAAACGUGACUGGAAACCUCGCGAGGCACGCACCAAACCGGUUCCGGACUUUCCAAGCUUCCGACGACGCGGCGCGUCUUUUCGAACGUCCAUUCGAAAAGCGAUCCGCGGACUCGGGGAUCCGACUGCGGAACGAAACGGGACCACCGGACAAACGGAGAAUAUACAAGGUUAACGCUAGGUUUACGGAUUUUAGAAAUAUUAUUUUGUAAAUGUUUACAAGAUAAGUUUACAUACAGUUUCCACAAUCUGAAUGAACCAGCAUCAAUUCUUUUAGAAAUAAUAUGAAGUGUACAGUAAAUGGCCGUGAACCUAGUGUUAAUAGUACUUGGUGUCAUCGAUUUGCCGCUGGUACUCCGCGUCGUCGGGAUUCGCUUCGCACCCGUUGCCGUUGUUCGGCGGCCUCACCCCGUUGUACCUGCGAAACAAGUGUCACAAUAGUAGUUUCGAUGCUUCCACGGCCUGGAGUGUUACAUUCAUCUCUGGCUUUCGGGAGAGAGCCACUAGGAAUUUUUUCCCAACGUUUCGCCGGCACUGCAGCUGAAUUCAUGGGGCUGGAGGCUGAUACUGAUGUGUGGGAAGAGUCUCUUUAACCAGUUAACUGUGUUUGACGACUAUACACG